GCAAGUCGAACGGAAACGAUGGAAGCUUGCUUUUCUAGGCGUCGAGUGGCGGACGGGUGAGUAAUACCUAGGAAUCUACCCUAUAGUUGGGGACAACAUGUGGAAACGCAUGCUAAUACCGAAUAUGCUCUACGGAGUAAAGGAGCCCUCUUCUUGAAAGGUUUCGCUAUAGGAUGAGCCUAGGCAAGAUUAGCUAGUUGGUAAGGUAAUGGCUUACCAAGGCGACGAUCUUUAGCUGGUUUGAGAGGAUGAUC
rnacentral:rRNA from 1 species